rnacentral:rRNA from 1 species
CCCGCAGCACUUAUCGUGCUGGGAGACAGUGUCAGGCGGGCAGUUUGACUGGGGCGGUCGCCUCCUAAAGAGUAACGGAGGCGCUCAAAGGUUCCCUCAGAAUGGUUGGAAAUCAUUCAUAGAGUGUAAAGGCAUAAGGGAGCUUGACUGCGAGACCUACAAGUCGAGCAGGGUCGAAAGACGGACUUAGUGAUCCGGUGGUUCCGCAUGGAAGGGCCAUCGCUCAACGGAUAAAAGCUACCCCGGGGAUAACAGGCUUAUCUCCCCCAAGAGUUCACAUCGACGGGGAGGUUUGGCACCUCGAUGUCGGCUCAUCGCAUCCUGGGGCUGUAGUCGGUCCCAAGGGUUGGGCUGUUCGCCCAUUAAAGCGGUACGCGAGCUGGGUUCAGAACGUCGUGAGACAGUUCGGUCCCUAUCCGUCGUGGGCGUAGGAAAUUUGAGAGGAGCUGUCCUUAGUACGAGAGGACCGGGAUGGACAUACCUCUGGUGUACCAGUUGUCGUGCCAACGGCAUAGCUGGGUAGCUAUGUAUGGACGGGAUAAGUGCUGAAAGCAUCUAAGCAUGAAGCCCCCCUCGAGAUGAGAUUUCCCAACUUC